UCUUCGGAGAGUUUGAUCCUGGCUCAGGACGAACGCUGGCGGCGUGCCUAAUACAUGCAAGUCGAGCGAAUCGAUGGGAGCUUGCUCCCUGAGAUUAGCGGC
rnacentral:rRNA from 1 species